GUACUCUGGUUUCCAAUCAACACCCGGAUAAAUCUUUCGCCUUUUACUAAAGAUUUCCGUGGUUGGGAGCAAUUGAUGAGUCUAUAUGACUAAUUUUUCGAAAGCCUGGUCUUCUGACCGGGCA
rfam:Daphnia pulex DAPPTscaffold_20_Cont1255, whole genome shotgun sequence.